UUCUGUGUGCCCUGCGAUUGGCUGGCAACCGAUUCAGGGUGUCCCUCGCCUACUGCCCGAAGACAGCUGGGAUAGGCUCCAACACCCCCCGCGACCCUAGUGAGGAUCAAGCGGCUCGGAAGAUGAAUAAAUGAAUGUUUGUAUAACACAAAAUACAUCAUUUCAAAAAUUGUAAAAUGCGUAACUUAGGGGGUUUUUUUUCAUUUGAAAUUUAAAUUCCAGUUAGGGGCGGCCCGGUAGUCCAGUGGUUAGCACGUCGACUUCACUGUGCAGAGGUACCGGGUUCGAUCCCAGCUCCGGCCUCCCUGUGUGGAGUUUGCAUGUUCUCCCCGGGCCUGCGUGGGUUUUCUCAGGGUACUCCGGUUUCCUCCCACAUUCCAAAGACAUGCAUGGUAGGCUGAUUGAACACUCUCAAUUGUCCCUGGGUGUGAGUAGUGUGACUUUCUCUUGGUUACCAUGUAAAAUGAUAACCUGUUUCAUUUUUUUAAGUGGUGGGAAAUAGGGGCAGCCCGGUGGUCGACUGGUCAGCGCGUAGACCUCACGGUGCAGAGGGUUCGAUUUCGAUUCCGGCUCCAGCCUUCCUGUGUAGACAUGUUGGCCCCGUGCCUGCGUGGGUUUUCUCUCGGUACUCUGGUUUCCUCCCACAUUCCAAAAACAUGCACGGCAGGUGAAUGGAAUACUCUAAUUUGUCCCGAGGUGUGAGUGUGAGCGCGGAUGGUUGUUCGUUUCUGUGUGCCCUGCGAUUGGCUGGCAACCGAUUCAGGGUGUCCCCCGCCUACUGCCCGAAGACAGCUGAGAUAGGCUCCAGCAUGCGUUGCAAGCCUUGAGCGAAUCAGAAAUUGGAUGGAUGGAUGGAUGGAUGGAUGAAUGGGUGAAAAAUGGACCAAAUCUACCUGUGACCGUCCUUUAAUCCGUAUGCAAUGGACACCCAUGCAUAUGUGUCCUUAAAUGCCACAACCAUGUAAAGCUGCGAUCUUCACUUUAUUGUGAAUCUUAUUCAAUCAUAUUUUAAUGGUUGCAAGCUCAAAAUAAGAGAUUAAAAGGAAUGGCGUUCAUGCAGAAACUGAAACGGGCCUCUUCACCAAUGUUCUGUGUCCGUCAUUCAGGCUGUGGGCUACA